rnacentral:rRNA from 1 species
AUUGAACGCUGGCGGCAGGCCUAACACAUGCAAGUCGAGCGGAGCUGCGGACGGGUGAGUAAUUCCUAGGAAUCUGCCUGGUAGUGGGGGAUAACGUCCGGAAACGGGCGCUAAUAUCGCAUACGAUCAGCUGAGCCUAGGUCGGAGUGGCUCGUUGGUGGGGUAAAGGCCUACCAAGGCGACGACCCGUAACUGGUCUGAGAGGAUGAUCAGUCACACUGGAAUGGGGACACUGUCCAGACUCCUACGGGAGGCAGCAGUGGGGAAUAUUGGACAAUGGGCGAAAGCCUGAUCCAGCCAUGCCGCGUGUGUGAAGAAGGUCUUCGGAUUGUAAAGCACUUUAAGUUGGGAGGCGUUACCAACAGAAUAAGCACCGGCUAACUUCGUGCCAGCAGCCGCGGUAAUUC